rnacentral:lncRNA from 1 species
CAGAACAUUGUUACAGAAGAAGAAAGUACCUGAUAAAAUUAAGUUUUAGUUUGAUGAAAGAGCAUAUGAAGAAAAGAGCAAUGCUUCCCAACCUUCCCAAAGAUACAUUUGCGUUCCUCUCUAGCUUCCUUCCUGAUACUCACACGACAGAAGAACCACAAAAAAGAGUCGGACAAUGUCACAUUUGUGGUGGGCACAAGAAUAAUAAAACCACUGUGACGUGCUAUAGAUGUGGAAAGCAUGUUUGCAAAAAUCACAGUGUGCAUUCAGCUACAUGUAAUACAUGCAAGGACAUAGAGG